rnacentral:snRNA from 1 species
AUAUUUAUCUGGCAGGGGAGAUACCAUGAUCACGAAGGUGGUUUUCCCAGGGCGAGGCUCACCCAUUGCACUCCGGGUGUGCUGACCCCCGUGAUUUCCCCAAAUGUGGGAAACUUGACUGCAUAAUUUGUGGUAGUGAGGAUGCAUUCUUGCUAUCCCCU